GGGGCAGUAGCUCAAUGGUAGAGCUCCCGCUUCAUAUGCGGGAAGACCUGGGUUCGAUUCCCGGCUGCUUAC
rnacentral:tRNA from 1 species